AUUGAACGCUGGCGGCAUGCCUUACACAUGCAAGUCGAACGGUAACGGGUCCUUCGGGAUGCCGACGAGUGGCGAACGGGUGAGUAAUAUAUCGGAACGUGCCCAGUAGUGGGGGAUAACUGCUCGAAAGAGCAGCUAAUACCGCAUACGACCUGAGGGUGAAAGGGGGGGAUCGCAAGACCUCUCGCUAUUGGAGCGGCCGAUAUCAGAUUAGCUAGUUGGUGGGGUAAAGGCCUACCAAGGCAACGAUCUGUAGUUGGUCUGAGAGGACGACCAGCCACACUGGGACUGAGACACGGCCCAGAAUCCUACGGGUGGCAGCAGUGGGGAAUUUUGGACAAUGGGCGCAAGCCUGAUCCAGCAAUGCCGCGUGCAGGAAGAAGGCCUUCGGGUUGUAAACUGCUUUUGUCAGGGAAGAAAUCUUCUGGGCUAAUACCCCGGGAGGAUGACGGUACCUGAAGAAUAAGCACCGGCUAACUACGUGCCAGCCGCCGCAGUAA
rnacentral:rRNA from 1 species